rnacentral:rRNA from 1 species
UAGGGAAUAUUGCGCAAUGGGGGAAACCCUGACGCAGCAACGCCGCGUGAGUGAGGAAGGUCUUCGGAUUGUAAAACUCUUUUAUCAGGGAAAAAUGAUUUAGUGGUUAAUACCCAUUAGAAGUGAUGGUACCUGAUGAAUAAGCACCGGCUAACUUCGUGCC